rfam:Gossypium arboreum cultivar AKA8401 contig_5133_1, whole genome shotgun sequence.
UAUUAAAAAUUUUAUCUAUUUGUAUUUUUAAAAAUUAGUUUGCCUCGUGGAUUAACCAAACAAUGGCACGUGGUGUGUCACGUAUACGUUAUACUGACAUAUAGAGAUCAAUUUUUAACCAUAGAAAUAGAUAGAACUUUUAAUA